GCGGGGUUAUCUAGAGAAUGUGUCCGUGUUGCCAACUAGAUCAUCUUGACGAAUUGCCCACAUCUGCCAUUUGUAUUUUUUUGAAGCGAGAGAAUGCUGUUUUCAAAACAGUUGUCGUGGUGCGUUUUUGUGUGUGAAGGAUGAAGUGACGCGUUUUGUGAAGCCGUAUAAUUUAGGCAAUCAUAGCAGAAAUGAUGUGAUGGUUCAGAUCGUUUUCCUUUUCAGUCGAGCUCGGAGGAAAACAAAAUCCGGCAAUAAAAGUAAAGUUUGCUGGUACUAUUUACCUAUCAAAAUGCCGUACAAAAAGGAAAAAAAUGAAUAGUGGAGACACACAUCUGCACCGUCGGUGGCGGCUACGGAAUCGGCGCAAGGAUUUGGACGAAAUCGAAGAACGACCCGGAAAAGCUGCUGAAAAGAGGUCGAUCUGGACAAGCCGAGUUUCGGGCAGUUUUACUGCAUCCACUGUGCUACCUACUACAUCAACAUCAAAUAAAUUCAUGAUGUUCGACAAGAUUAUCUGUAGCAUAUUGUUGCAGAACCUAACCUGGUACUUCAGUAUUUUCUUGCAAAACGACGUCGAUCUUAUGCCAGUAUUAAGUAAAUUUAUGCAGACAGGACGAAGUAUGGAUAGUUCCAUACUCUAUUCAACCAGCUUCUGGAAGACAAGUUUCUUUUUUUUUUUCAAUAUAUGAGGAUGCCAAAGGAAACAUUCUUUUACAUUCUCAAUAAAAUUGCCCCAAGCAUAGCGAAAAAGAAGCGGAAUAUUCAACACGUUUCACUAGAAGAACGGUUGAUGGUCACAUUAAGGUAAAUUAUUUACUGAGUAUUAUGUUUUGAUGCAGAGUUUACUAUUAAAAUGAUUCCAAUCUUAUUUAUAAUCUUUCCUGUAUUGAAUUCCAAUCUGUUUAUAUGUUCAUGAUGACGUUAUUCACUUUAAUUGUACAAUAUAACU